rnacentral:ncRNA from 1 species
GUGUAUUUGGAAAUAUCCCUAAUACAGGAUCACUUGGAUCCGUCGGCGAUGACGAGCGCGAAAGAAUGCGAAAAGUCCUCACGGAAUGCUCUAAUUAUGAGAUAAUCUCAUGGAUACUCCCUGGACUUAAGCAUAUCAUUAAGGGAAGGAAAAGAAACUAACUAGGAUUCCGUUAGUAGUGGCGAAUGAACACGGAAGAGCUCCAAUGGUAAAGCCUAAGUGCUGUUGUAAUGUAGCCUCCGAAAACAUUCUGGAAAGGAUGACCACAGUGGGUGAUAGUCCCAGAGGAGGAUGUAAAGAAUAGAGUAGUGCUGCUUGGUAGUGCAGUAUGAAGAGGAGGUAGAAACUUCUAAAGCUAAAUACAGACGAUACCG